rnacentral:rRNA from 1 species
AACGAACGCUGGCGGCAUGCCUAACACAUGCAAGUCGAACGAGACCUUCGGGACUAGUGGCGCACGGGUGCGUAACGCGUGGGAACCUGCCCUUAGGUUCGGAAUAACUCCCCGAAAGGGGUGCUAAUACCGGAUAAUGUCUUCGGACCAAAGAUUUAUCGCCCUGGGAUGGGCCCGCGUUGGAUUAGCUAGUUGGUAGGGUAAAAGCCUACCAAGGCGACGAUCCAUAGCUGGUAUGAGAGGAUGAUCAGCCACACUGGGACUGAGACCCGGCCCAGACUCCUACGGGAGGCAGGAGUGGGGAAUAUUGGACAAUGGGCGAAAGCAUGAUGCAGCAAUGCCGCGUGAGUGAUGAAGGCCUUAGGGUUGUAAAGCUCUUUUACCCGGGAUGAUAAUGACAGUACCGGGAGAAUAAGCUCCGGCUAACUCCGUG